rnacentral:snoRNA from 13 species
AUUUGUGGUGGUUUUCUCUCUGGCACAUUUGUCAAGUUUUCAAAUGGGCCUGACUCCACCACAUACAUUGUAAGGGAGCUGGCAAAGGCUCGAUGACAAAGACAUCUCUUCUGAGCCCUUUGCACCAGAGCUUUGCUCCCACAUGU